AUGGCCUCGGGCCCGAUGGUCUCUAAGAAGAUCCACACACUCACUCUGGCCGACCGGACGAGACUGGACUAUCACAAGGCUUUUGCGCUCGGCACAAUCGAGAAGAGACCAGUCAUCGUCCAUGGCGGUGACUUCGCAGCCAAUCUGUCUCAUCAGAUGGAGGUGUUGGGACAAGAUGAUGGUCAUGGUGGCUGGCAAGCUGACUGGUCACUACAUUCCCUCUUCAACGACGACCAUGUCAACUGCUGUUACAGUGGUGAUCAUGAUGAUGCGGAUGUGCUAGUGGAUGCGUGCGAUCAAGACGACGAUGAUGAGUUGUCGGUCCUGGAUGUGAUCAGGAGCAAAAGAGAGGUUGAGGGGUUGGAGUUCAACAUGGAGGAAGAGAUUGACCAGGCUGCCGAUAUGUGUCGGUGUCAAAACCGACGGAUCUCGGGUAGGGGGUCCCGAUCUGUGCGUCAACGCUGA
rnacentral:rRNA from 1 species